rnacentral:rRNA from 1 species
UGGGGAAUUUUGGACAAUGCACGGAAGUGUGAUCCAGCGACGCCGCGUGAAGGAAGAAGUCCUUCGGGAUGUAAACUUCUGAACUUACAGAAUAACAGCAUAAGGGAACUUAUGUAUGAAGGUAAGUAAGGAAAAGCCCCGGCUAACUACGUGCCAGCAGCCGCGGUAAGACGUAGGGGGCGAGCGUUGCCCGGAAUCACUGGGCGUAAAGGGGGCGUAGGCGGUCUCAUAAGUCAGGUGUGAAAUGUCACUGCUCAACGGUGUCAGUGCGCUUGAAACUGUGAGACUUGAGGGUACCAGAGGUAGACGGAAUUACCUGAGUAGGGGUGAAAUCCGUAGAUACAGGUAAGAACGCCAGUGGGGAAGCCGGUCUACUGGGGUGACCCUGACGCUGAGGCCCGAAAGCUAGGGUAGCAAACCGGAUUAGAUACCCCGAGUAGUC